CAACACGCACGCUCGGGUUGUUUCUGGGUGGCGCCUCUCUCUCGCUCUCACUCUGAUACCGUCCUCUCUCUAUAAUUUUUUUUUUCGCGCUGCUCCGCCACACAACUCGCGUGCAAAACGUCUGCACACGCACAGAAACUCGCUGCGGAAACGUCGCACAGACGCGAGAACCGAACAUACUUCCUCCCUCCCCACUCCUUCCCGAUCCAUUCCAGUCUGCUUCCGUAUCUUGGUUGCACAAGCAAAUAGGGGUGGUGUCUCUGGGUACCGCUGGAUCGAGCGCGAACUUGUCUAUCAAGAGUGCGUCGCCCUCAGGCAACAGCUGCUAGUUGUGAGACCCACGAAGCAAGAGUAGCUGCAAGGCGAUAGAAUGAACACGACGGCACUCGUGCAGAUGUGGGCGCUCGUCGCUGUCGCGCUCUCCAUUACCGCGGCGCAAGUGGCGAGCGCUGACUCCAAGACAUACGUUGCACCGCACCCGACGGUGGGUCUCUCCUCCAAGGACGAGGAGUACCUUAUCGGCGUCGUUUCCUUCGCCGCAGUGGUGGUGGCUUGCUUCAUGGGUAUCGCCUCAAUGGUAAAGAUCGACUAUGAUGAUGACACGCUGCUCAUGGUGGAGGUGCCCGGGGACAUAAACCACGAGAAGGAGUAGGCGCCUGCGCGGAAUGCGGUGUCCACAAGUCACGUGCGUGCCGUAUGGUGCGUGUGGCUCAGCUGCCCUUGUUCGAUCACUCGCUCCGAGUGCCUGCGUAUACCCUCAUUCUCCUCCUCCGUCUUUACUUCUUCCCGGAGGCGCAGCGGCCGUAUAGGGGAGGAGGGAAGGUGGACAUUGGCGAUGCGGGUACAUGCGCUUGCUUCAAUAUCGAUGCAUAUAUAUAUAUAUGUAUAUCUGUGUGCGCCGAGGAGUUGGAUGAGCCUCGGCAACGAGAAGCGCGAGAGGAAAAAGAUCGAACCGCGUGCGAGGGAAGAGGUGGAAAUUUGAAAGAAUUUUAGGGCCCGUCCAUCACCCGUCCCCUUCCCCAUUUACUUUGCGCUGCGUGUGUGUGUGUGUGUGUGUUCACGUGCGGUGCCAGGCGUGCUAAAGACGGGUCUGCGUUCCCCGCUGCGAGCGCUUACCCGUAUUUGACGGUUUGUUGUUGUUGCUCAUCGCCUCACUGCGGCCGUGCCUUCGCGUUGGUGCGCGGCCGUCAUUGAGGCUUGAGCCGCAGGUGGAUCUCUCCCGUUGUUUUUUUAGUGGCGCUUGCUUGACAGCGUCGAGGCGAGACCAAAGCACAUGCCCUCACCGGUGAAGAGACGAGAGGGCCGCACCGCCGCGUGCUCGAACUCUCGAGCAGGGAAGAGAAAGGGGCACGUGUGAGGCACGAGUUCAUCCCGGCACGCGCAGACGGCGUAUUUUUGAACUGCCUGUCCACACUUACCCUGCGCCUCGAGAGCUCUACAUGGGUCUGCGUGGAUGUAAACAUGGAGCACGAACGUCAGCGCUCUGCCUGUCUGUCUUCUUGCGGUACCCCCCCCUCCUCCCUCCUCUCUGCCCCCUCCCUCCCUCCCUCCCCAUGCCCUUGCUCCACCGCCCACGGCGCACGAGAGCAUGCGCCGGUGCAUGUGGACCUCAAAGCGCCUUCAUCGCACUCUUGCCCGCGUUGUGCCCUGCCUUUGCUUCGCUCUGCCGCGGUGCACGUAGCAGAGUGGCCACCUCGAAACGCAAAGAGGGAGGGCGUAUCAAGACGACAACCUCCCCCACCCACCCAAGCCACCGCAACCACCCAUCCGGCACAGCCAGCGUGCGCUCCGUGUGUGUCGACCUUGUUUUUCCUUCGCACGGAUCCCUCUCACCGCAUAGACUCUAUACCCCCGCGUGCUCUCCCCCACCCCCUCCCACCUCCCUCCCUUACCCCCGAAG
rnacentral:misc_RNA from 1 species